AUUGAACGCUGGCGGCAGGCUUAGCACAUGCAAGUCGAGCGGAGAUGAGGUGCUUGCACCUUAUCUUAGCGGCGGACGGGUGAGUAAUGCUUAGGAAUCUGCCAUUUAGUGGGGGACAACAUUCCGAAAGGAAUGCUAAUACCGCAUACGUCCUACGGGAGAAAGCAGGGGAUCUUCGGACCUUGCGCUAAAUGAUGAGCCUAAGUCGGAUUAGCUAGUUGGUGGGGUAAAGGCCUACCAAGGCGACGAUCUGUAGCGGGUCUGAGAGGAUGAUCCGCCACACUGGGACUGAGACACGGCCCAGACUCCUACGGGAGGCAGCAGUGGGGAAUAUUGGACAAUGGGCGGAAGCCUGAUCCAGCCAUGCCGCGUGUGUGAAGAAGGCCUUUUGGUUGUAAAGCACUUUAAGCGAGGAGGAGGCUACUAGUACUAAUACUACUGGAUAGUGGACGUUACUCGCAGAAUAAGCACCGGCUAACUCUGUGCCAGCAGCCGCGGUAAUAC
rnacentral:rRNA from 1 species